AAUUCGAUGCAACGCGAAGAACCUUACCAGGUCUUGACAUCUGUAGAACCUUGUUGAAAGACAGGGGUGCCUUCGGGAGCUACAAGACAGGUGGUGCAUGGUUGUCGUCAGCUCGUGUCGUGAGAUGUUGGGUUAAGUCCCGCAACGAGCGCAACCCUUGCUAUUAGUUGCUAACAGGUAGAGCUGAGCACUCUAAUGGGACUGCCCGUGACAAGCGGGAGGAAGGUGGGGAUGACGUCAAAUCAUCAUGCCCUUUAUGAUCUGGGCUACACACGUGCUACAAUGGAUGGUACAGAGAGCAGCGAGGCCGCGAGGUGGAGCGAAUCUCAAAAAGCCAUUCUCAGUUCGGAUUGCAGUCUGCAACUCGACUGCAUGAAGUCGGAAUCGCUAGUAAUCGCGAAUCAGCACGUCGCGGUGAAUGCGUUCCCGGGCCUU
rnacentral:rRNA from 1 species